rnacentral:lncRNA from 1 species
AUUGCGAAUGAUUUGCGCAUUUAACACCCAGAAUGAGAGCUAUGAAUUUCUCCGCUAGUCGGACGCGCCGCCGAACUGCCAUAAAGCACUUGCUUGCUCAC